rnacentral:tmRNA from 1 species
GGGGGUGCACCGGUUUCGACGGGCGUGAUUCGCGGUCUUUGACUGCAGGUGAGGUUGUCUGUCCUCCAAACGGGCGAAAACUUAUAAUUGCCGAAACAAACGACAAUUACGCUCUCGCUGCUUAGUUAGCAGAGCGCGGAAACCGGAUUGUGCCGCUCUGAACGGUCCGAAUUUCUGUCACUGACCGGAGCUUACUCUUUGCCGGGUCCAGACGGUAAAGGGGAAAUAUACUGGAAUAAGGAAUCGACGCUUGCAGUGCUGACACCGGUUCCCGACAAUUAACUCGCACUGCUAAACCUGUAGACGUUUCUGACCCGCACAUCCGGACGGGAGUUCAAUUCUCCCCACCUCCAAAA